AAGUAUGAAGUAAUAUAUUACAAUUAGUUUCGACCUAAUAAUUAGGGAAAUAUUUCUACCCCUUACUUA
rnacentral:tRNA from 1 species